rnacentral:rRNA from 1 species
CUGUUGGGGGGCGUGGCUUAAUACUUGCAAGUCGAACGAACUCUGGUAUUGAUUGGUGCUUGCAUCAUGAUUUACAUUUGAGUGAGUGGCGAACUGGUGAGUAACACGUGGGAAACCUGCCCAGAAGCGGGGGAUAACACCUGGAAACAGAUGCUAAUACCGCAUAACAACUUGGACCGCAUGGUCCGAGUUUGAAAGAUGGCUUCGGCUAUCACUUUUGGAUGGUCCCGCGGCGUAUUAGCUAGAUGGUGGGGUAACGGCUCACCAUGGCAAUGAUACGUAGCCGACCUGAGAGGGUAAUCGGCCACAUUGGGACUGAGACACGGCCCAAACUCCUACGGGAGGCAGCAGUAGGGAAUCUUCCACAAUGGACGAAAGUCUGAUGGAGCAACGCCGCGUGAGUGAAGAAGGGUUUCGGCUCGUAAAACUCUGUUGUUAAAGAAGAACAUAUCUGAGAGUAACUGUUCAGGUAUUGACGGUAUUUAACCAGAAAGCCACGGCUAACUACGUGCCAGCAGCCGCGGUAAUACGUAGGUGGCAAGCGUUGUCCGGAUUUAUUGGGCGUAAAGCGAGCGCAGGCGGUUUUUUAAGUCUGAUGUGAAAGCCUUCGGCUCAACCGAAGAAGUGCAUCGGAAACUGGGAAACUUGAGUGCAGAAGAGGACAGUGGAACUCCAUGUGUAGCGGUGAAAUGCGUAGAUAUAUGGAAGAACACCAGUGGCGAAGGCGGCUGUCUGGUCUGUAACUGACGCUGAGGCUCGAAAGUAUGGGUAGCAAACAGGAUUAGAUACCCUGGUAGUCCAUACCGUAAACGAUGAAUGCUAAGUGUUGGAGGGUUUCCGCCCUUCAGUGCUGCAGCUAACGCAUUAAGCAUUCCGCCUGGGGAGUACGGCCGCAAGGCUGAAACUCAAAGGAAUUGACGGGGGCCCGCACAAGCGGUGGAGCAUGUGGUUUAAUUCGAAGCUACGCGAAGAACCUUACCAGGUCUUGACAUACUAUGCAAAUCUAAGAGAUUAGACGUUCCCUUCGGGGACAUGGAUACAGGUGGUGCAUGGUUGUCGUCAGCUCGUGUCGUGAGAUGUUGGGUUAAGUCCCGCAACGAGCGCAACCCUUAUUAUCAGUUGCCAGCAUUAAGUUGGGCACUCUGGUGAGACUGCCGGUGACAAACCGGAGGAAGGUGGGGAUGACGUCAAAUCAUCAUGCCCCUUAUGACCUGGGCUACACACGUGCUACAAUGGAUGGUACAACGAGUUGCGAACUCGCGAGAGUAAGCUAAUCUCUUAAAGCCAUUCUCAGUUCGGAUUGUAGGCUGCAACUCGCCUACAUGAAGUCGGAAUCGCUAGUAAUCGCGGAUCAGCAUGCCGCGGUGAAUACGUUCCCGGGCCUUGUACACACCGCCCGUCACACCAUGAGAGUUUGUAACACCCAAAGUCGGUGGGGUAACCUUUUAGGAACCAGCCGCCUAAAGGGGGCCCCAG